UUCACCAUCUAGGUGUUUAUGUCUAUGGUUGCCUAGAUUGGUUCUCAAUUAGAGGCAGCUGUUUAUCGUCUGAUUGGGAACCAUAUUUAGGCAGCAAUCUUCUUUGGGUAUUUUGUGGGUUAUUGUCUGUCUAGUUGCCUGUGUCUGCACAUUUAUGUUAUAGCCUCACGUUUGUUUUGUUAUUUUGUAUAGUUUGUUUAGUGUCCGUCUUUAUUAAAAGUAACAUGUAUUCAUAUCACGCUGCGCCUUGGUCUCCUCCAUUCAAUGAACGUGACACACACAAGUCUUCCCUGUUUUUUUUUUUCAGAGAUACUGGGUAAUUUAUCCCUCACCGGGUUCCUAUUCCUCCAAGUGGGUCACGACAGAAACUCUCCCAGGGUUUUGAACCCCUGCUCCGUGGCCUUGCUGGCUUGGCUGAGUUUAUGGCUUCCCUUUGUGACAGGUGUGAUGGUGGCAUCCCCCCUGGAACUCCAAAUACCUAGUGUAUGCAUUACCUGGGUUUGAGCCACGCGGAGAGGGCGUGGAGCGCCCUACUGGAUGCCUGUUUUGUGUGGUGUUCUCAGAAUGCCUGCGCCUGGCGCGAUUGGAGGCCAUGCAGAAGUGGGUCGGCUAGGCUCUGGCUCAUGCUGGGGACUAGUUCCCUCCCUCAGGAGUGGUGCGCCAGGGAGCUUUUAGUCCACCUACUGGGUCUAGUACUCCUCCCAGGAAGUGUGGUUGGAGCCACCGCAGGCAGAGCCCAUCUGCUGACAGUCCUGGACGGGGGCAGGAGUCGGUCCGCUGGGACCAUCUUGAACGGAGUGUGCAUGCCCUGCGUCAGGAGGUUGAUAGCUUCAAUGGCGACGACAGCUGUUCCCUGUUGGCCAGUGAUAUGAUGUUCCUGGGGGGCGACGCUGGCACUGUUCACCACCAUAAGCUGGGCUGACAGGCCAUCAGAAGCUGGCAAUGGGGCUUCAGCGGUUUGAGGGGCCUACUCACUCGGGUAGCCACUGCACUGGACAUCAAACUGGUGGACAGUGAUGACUCUCCAGCUUUCCCCAUCUCUGCUGCGUUCUGCAAAGCCUUGUAGGAGAGCUGGGCCUCUUUCAGGUGGUGCUUCCGACUUACAGCAGAAACUGGAACAUAGAGUUAUGUUGCGGGCGCAGAGUCACUCGGCCUACGAGAGUACCCGACCAUGGACACCAUGAUAGCGGCCAUGGUCCUGGAGAUUAUAGGGCGGAACACGCGACUGAAGCCAGGACACCCCCAGAGUCUUUGAAGCGGACUUGAAAUCCACAUAUGGGACCCUCUGCUCUCUUGGCCGCUAUACCAACGUAGCCAUGCUGCUGCAAGCCUACCUGCAGACUUUGUUGCCCUGGCUGAAGGGGGGCACAGAGGAGGUCCUUCAGCAAGCGAUGGAGGUGUCUUGCCUGCGUUCCCUGCUACAUAGGGAUGUGGCCCGCUCCAACGGAUGGGUCAUGGCGCAGGUGGUUACCUCCAGGCACCAUCUCUAGCUGGCCCAAUCCCGUCUGCCAGCUGCUCUCCGGAACACAUGUGCCACUCUCCCCAUCACCCCAGGGCUAACGUUUGGCCCAGGGGUUAAUGACAUUCUGGAGCAGACCGAUAAGGUUCGUAGGGACCGGGAGACCCUGAGAUGUUUCUUGCUGCCUCCUCAGGCCACGGGUCUAAGGCAGACGGACCAUCGCCACUCGCCUGCACCCGAAUGACGGUGGGGUCCCUCUCCUGCCCCUUCGCCUCGUGCUGAGGAACGACAGUGGGGAGGGGCACAGCGUGCGGUGGCGCAACAACCUGUCAAUCGUCACCGCCAUAGGGAUGUGCCUGGGGGACCCAGGCGCUCUGGGUGACAAAUAGGCGGGCCCCGGCAGGACCCCGCUUCACCUGGUCUCAAAGGGCAAAGUGGGAGCAGUGUGCGGAGUCCCCAUGGGUGUUGUCCACAAUGCUCAAAGGAUACCAACUCCAAUUCCGGUGCUGGCUCCCAUCCUUCAGGGGCUUUUGUCACCACGGUGGCCGACUCACUGAGGAAAACCCUGCGGCUGGAGAUCUCCUUACACCUGGAGACAUCAGAACGGCUAGGUGGCUUCUACCAAUUCUGGACCUUCGCAACCUCAAUGGGUGCUUGAAGGUACUGAGGUUCCACAUGUUGUCCCCUGCCCUCGUGUUGCAGGCCAUGUCCAGGGACCAGUGGUUUUUGACGCUGGACCUGAGGGAUGUGUACUUCAAUGUUCCUGUUCAUCCAGCUCAUUGGCAGUACCUCCAAUUCGCUUUCGAAGGGCGGGCUUACGAAUUCAUGGUUCUUCCCUUCGGCCUCUCCUUGGCACCCGCACUUUCACUGAGUGCAUGGACGCUGUCCUGGCACAUCACAUCCCAAGGAUUGUUGAUCCUGAUUGGCUGAUUUGUGCCCUGACCAGGACGCAGGUCCUGCCAGAGACAUGCUCCUGACUCAUAUCGGCAGGCUGGGCAUUACUGUAAACGACAAGAGCCAUUGUCUGAUGCCCACCCAGAUGGUGGCCUUCAUUGGCAUGGAACUUGACUCAAUCCUCAUGAGAGCACGUAUGCCCACUGAAAGGGUUCAGUUGAUCUUACAGUAUCUUGCCUCGACCACUUUCGUCUGGGGCGGGUGGUAUCUGCCCUAACCUGCCAAAGCCUGUUGGGCUUGCUGACGGCGGGCUCAUUGUCUCCUCUGGGCCUGCUCCAUCUCCGGCCUCUUCAAAAGGUGGUUCAACUCCCACCAGCUGCACAUGAAGCGCCACUGUCACCGCCAGCUGCGGGUGACCACACAGUGACUCAGGGCAAUGUUGAGGUGGCUCUGUCACUCCUUUCUCUCAGGUGUGGUGGAGAUGCUGAGCAUGUGCCGACGGGAGCUGGUCAGCACAGAUUCCUCCCAGAUCGUCAGGGGGGGUGUGACCAAGGGCAGGUGCUGUUGGCUACCCCCUUGGAGCAGCAGGCACAUCGAUACACUAGGGCUCCAAGCUGUACUAUUGGCUCUGCAGUCUUCCCUCCACAUCUGAAGGGAAGACAUGUCCUGGUGAGAACGGACACCACCACAGUGGAGGCUUACAUCAACCAUCAUGGUGGACUGAGGUCCCACAGCCUCUAUCUUAUGGCACGGGAGCUCUUUCUCUGGGCUCAGGGACGUCUAGCGUUUCUAUGUACCUGGCAUCCUGAAUGUGGCAGUGAAUAUGCUCUCGAGGGAGAGCCCGCCACCUUGGGACUGGAGCCUAUAUUUCCAAGGUGGUGCAGCAGCUGUAGGACAAGUUCGAGAGGGCAAAGGUGGACCUGUUUGCCUCCCUGGACAAUGCGCACUGCCCCUUGUGGUACUUCAUGUCGGAGCCACCAGGGCCUCUGGGCUUGGAUGCUCUGGCACACGAUUGACCAGGGCUGGAGCUUUACGCAUUCUCCCCGUGUUAUCUUAAUCAUCGUUAUCUUAAUAAUCGUUGCAUGAAAGCAAUACUUUUCGUGAAUCACACCCGUGGUAACUUGCUGACAGAAUAAGUUUUUUUUUUUUGUGUGUGAAAAGAUUAACAUUGUGGAGAAUUUCUCCCUUUUCUCCUCCGAUAAUAUGAUGGGCAAGAUCCGGUACCUUCAGACUGGUGAGCAGCUGGUGCCUGUGAUGACGAAGACUGAGGACCUUUUCAUAACAAAGUUAAGCAUAGUUAUUUGUCCUAUACCUCUGAGUUCACAGCCAAACUAUUUCAGCAUUCCUUCAAAAAACAUAACAUUAUGCUUAAGAACUAAUAAUGUUAUGCGAUAUACUUCAUUACAUUCAGUACAUAACAGGCAGAGAGUGACAGAGGGUCUAGAAGAUACUGUGCAAAUGAAAUGCAGGUUGUGAAAAUUAGACUUGUACUUCGUAUUGUGUGUGGAAUCAACCCUUUUGGGGUGAAUUUGGGUGUGUUUGGCACUGGGUUGUGAUCAGCGUCAGACUCAUUCGGUUUGAUCAAAUUUAGGAUUUUGCCUGGGAAUGACAGCAAGCAUGAAGUUUUCAGAGUGCUAGUGUUAAGAUUCCUUUUUAUUUCAAAUACUUAAUCUUACUUUCUCUGGUGAGACUGGCUCUGUUUCCAGGCUUGAACGUUUUUCUGCUCGAAUCAGGCACUCAUGGGCUUUCUCAUAUGAAUCUGAAACAUCACAGAACAGGAGCUUAUCAGUUCAUCUGUAAAUGUCUGCAAACGAGACGUUUAGAUAUUCUGUUAAAGUACUCACUCUUUGUCUUCGGUAAUUGAAUUGAAUACACCUCUAAUGUAUCAAUGUCCGGCCGUUCAUGUGACAUCACUGCCUUCCUUAACUCCCCUUGGGUCUUGUAUGGAGGCCAGUAACAUUUGUCCUUGGUGCACCAGGUUUUUAAGAUGACAGCUGAACUGUCAUCUUCGUUCUGGAAAUUAACCACAGCAAACAUGGUACUGUGAACUAAAAAGCAAAUAAGGGUACACAAUUAGAUUAGUUUACUCAAACAUUUCACAAUAGUAACAUCUAAUUGUAGGAGUUUAAGAAAAUCCCUUCAAGUAAAUAAUACAUUUUCUGUAAUGUCUUUUACUGACAAUUUACCUUAAAGAGAACGGGGAAACCAAUAGAAAUAACAUUGGUGCUUUGCAUCCUACAAAUGGAGUAAUGGCAUCCCAGCAAAGCCCUCUUCGCACGAGAGUAGAACAAACUUCUGAAGCACUUUUGUGGCAUGAGUGAAAAGAGGUUCAUCUUUCAAUCCAGAGAGAUGGAAAAUAUCAAGAGGUGAUGAUGGCAGGGGAUAUGCGAAAAGGUCUGUCUUGUUCCUAAAUGUUUUGUACACCGUGGUAUGUUCCUCCACCACAAGGUUUUGCACUAGGACAACCCCCUUGUUCCUCAACUGGACACAGUUAUUCCCAGUGGACAUCUGCAUGGAGAAGUGAGCUGCAUUUUUUUUUUAUACUGCUAGGGCCAUUUGGGACUGGGCCAUUGUCAUGCUGCUUUUGAAGUGUUUUCUCUGCAUCUGACUGUUGCUCUCAUUGCCUCUCUUUCUGACGGCCUCCGUAUAACCUGCUCUAAAGGCUUGUUUUGCUUUCUUAUCAUUCUUUUUAACUGGCCAAGAAAAUUCUCGAAGGGGAAGCAAGAGAUAUUGUCAACACCAAAUGCUUGUUCUUCAUGGGUGAAAUUGGUUAGGCAAUGUAUAUUAUGUUUUUUAUUUUCCAUACAGGCAGCUGCAGUGGUCCACAAACAAAACCAGGAGGUUUCCUGCAUAGUCUGCUUGGUCUGCACACAAGGAUACACGUAGGAAGAUGGUCAUGGCAUCUGCAAGCAACAUUAAGUUUUCACACAUCACCCUUGGAAUAUUCCCUUUUGAACAGACGGGCCCAGUGUACAAGAGGAAUGUACAGAACUCCGUUGCCUUCCAACGGUCAGACUCAUUCAGUGGUUCUCUUGAUUUCUGAUGGGAGUGUGAGGUCAGCUGUGAAGAUACAUUUCAGACAACAGCUGGACCUAAACAUGUUUUCAGUGGCCCUUUCUGCCAUAGUUAUCAGUUUCCGUGUAACUCUCAAACAUACCAGGAGCAUUUUGUCAAGAGGAAACGACGUCACCAAACCAUUUGACAAUGAUCCUAAUGGUGUUGUCUCUCUGUCAUCAGUCAAAUCAUCGAAAGUGUUGUGGUUGGACCUCUGCUGUUGUUUCUGGGAAGGUCAUACGAUUCAGGUAGUAGACUCCCAUUUGACGGCAUUUGUCACAGCCAUAGUAGCCAUUGUGACCUUUUGCAUUUCUGACAAAGGCCCUGGCUGGUGCGUCACAAAUAAUGGCAGAGAUUUGGACUUUAAGAUUUUUGUCUCCAAAAAACCACCCGUUUCCAGCUGCUGCAUUUCCUCAAGUCAUGCAAAAAAUCAAGACGGUUUGGCUUCUUCUUUCAAUUUGAUGGCCUUUGUAAAGAGGAAGGCCACCAAAAUUGAUUUGGAAAGACACUGACAACCUUGUAUGAACAGAUGUUGUAAGGUGGGACGUUACGUUAGCUAGUCUAACGUUAGUGUCCGUCAACUAACUUCCAAGUCCCUAAUGUUCACCCUGAAGGUAACAUCAACUCACCUUGGCUUUAUACUGAGACCACAGAGACAGAUGCGUAAGCAAGGUGAUCCAGAUGAGCUGUUCCCUCCAGAGGAUUCCACAGGACAAUGUUUAUAUGUGUACCACACAGCCAGACUUCUCUCUGCUGUCUGGAUCCUGAACGAUGUUGACAACACUCAACCUCAAACUCCACUAGCUCAUGCGCCCCACAACAUUAGACAUGAAACCUUCCUGUCCAUCCUCAAUACCUUAAGCAAUAGACACACAAUGAUAUCCCCAUAGACAUGUAGGGUGGUUUGAGCCCAUAUUCAGUUUAAAUGCAUUCCCUGGUUGGCAUGAGUCUUCAGUUAGAACAUUUUACUGACUCAUCUCUGAUCAAGAUAUUCCACCAACGAUUGAAAGAAAUGUAUCUUUAAAAAACACUUGUUUAGAACAUAGUUUAGUUUCCAUUAGGAAAUGUUAAGGAAGACUUCACAGAAAAUAUUGCCUUGGGGCCUUAGACUUACAAUGCAGGCUCUAGACCUAACAUCUUUGUAAAUACAUAACGUUUCAGUUUUGUGCUAAAGGUUGUCACACAAGACCAUGUUAACGGUAGUAUUGUUAACUUAUACCUAAUCUUAAUGUGUGUCUUGUUGUAGAAUAAAGAUGCAUUUCCUGUCAUUUUUGUUCUAUAUUCACAAACUCACCUUCACAAUGCCCAGGAUUAGUGAAUGGGUUAAAAGUGAGUAUGCAAGCUAUGUACUUAUAAGAAAACGCAAAAGUAGUGGAACUUGCCAUUACAUUGAAAUUGCAUUAUGCGAUGACAAAAUGUGGAACUUCAAUGGGCAUUUUCCAGAAAAUGCUGAAUGGUACAGUUCAACUGUCAAAUGUGUGGUAUAUAUAUUUAAAAAAUAUUUUCAGCUACAGUA